rnacentral:tmRNA from 2 species
GGGGGCGUAUUUGGCUUUGACGUCUGACGCAGAACCCAACGUGCAUAUCGAGCAUAAACACAACUCGUUAAAAUUUGUUUAAAAAAUUUAGUUGCAGAUAACUACAACUAUAGAUUGGCAGCUUAAUGCCAACCUGUUAUCAUUUGUGACCUACAACAUUUGAUAAUAGUCAUUUUGUAGGAGUAGUUUUAUAGCUUGUCCAACUAUAAAGCGAAAUUAAGGACUAUGCUUAGUAUGUCUUGAUCAUCAGGCUAUACUAAAGUUGAAAUUAAUAGAUGAAUCUAAAUAUGUAGAAGCUAGGGGAAAGUGAUGACGGACGUGGGUUCGAAUCCCGCCGCCUCCACCA